AAAAUGCAUCGGCCGGGAAUCGAACCCGGGGCGCCCGCGUGGCAAGCGAGCAUUCUACCACUGACCUUAUAUAUUC